CCUACGGGUGACAGCAGUGAGGAAUAUUGGUCAAUGGGCGCGAGCCUGAACCAGCCAAGUAGCGUGAAGGAUGACUGCCCUACGGGUUGUAAACUUCUUUUAUAAAGGAAUAAAGUGAGGCACGUGUGCCUUUUUGUAUGUACUUUAUGAAUAAGGAACGGCUAACUCCGUGCCAGCCGCCGCGGUAAUACGGAGGAUCCGAGCGUUAUCCGGAUUUAUUGGGGUUAAAGGGAGCGUAGAUGGGUUGUUAAGUCAGUUGUGAAAGUUUGCGGCUCAACCGUAAAAUUGCCAUUGAAACUGGCAGUCUUGAGUACAGUUGAGGUAGGCGGAAUUCGUGGUGUAGCGGUGAAAUGCUUAGAUAUCACGAAGAACUCCGAUUGCGAAGGCAGCAUACU
rnacentral:rRNA from 1 species